GGAGGACGUGGUUUCUGUGAAGGUGGAGGAGCGACGACCUUAGACUCCUUCAUCCGAUGGAUCACUUUGUCUGACAGCUGGAGAGAAACAAGAGACACACUUAAAUGACAUGGAUUUGUUAAGGAUUUCUUCUUAUAACCCAUGCAUUCUCCCUGAGCUUUCACUCACCCGAAUGCCCUUCACAAAAGUGACUCCUCCACCCUCCUCUCCUGGGAGGUGACUCGGGCUGUUUCCCCCCAUCCACACUCAAGCAGCAGCAGAUACUCGCUACUCUUAGUAUUUAUGAUAUUAUUUAAUCCACAAGGUGGAUGUACGCUCAGUGAUAUCAACUCUACAGCUGCAACAAUCUGCCCUUCCCACUCCGAGCGUCAACAAGAGCUGCUCCUAUUGGAUAUUGCUGAACAACGCGGCUCCUGAUUGGUCCGUUUGCUUUACAGCGUGUCAGACAUGAAGGAACAUUGUGUCCCAGCAAACAAUACUUAUAAAACUAACAAUUUAUCAGUGUUUUGAAGUAGCCUGACUUAGUACAUGUACACAAGUACUGAAAGUGCAUUUUUAAUUACUUGUACUUGGCUUGAGAAUUUACAUGUUAUGCUACUUCAUGACUACUCUACUACAAUUCAGAAGAAAAAUAUUGUAGGCCUAUGUUGUAGGUUACAUGUAAAGUAUCCACUAUAUUGCUAUUUACAUGACAGACUCAUAUAAUUGAUGUAAAGUAUAAUCAACACAUUACUAUAAUAUAGCCUAUUAUUACAAUACACAGCAGCAGGAUUUAACGUGUGUAAAAUUGUCUUCACCUUUACUAACUGCAAGGUUAAGAUCAUACAUGCAUUGAUCUGUCAAAUGAUGUAUUACGUAUUACAUAAUAAAAAAAUAUGAUAACACUUUAUUCUGAAAUGGGGCUUUGAGUAUACUUUUUCUACUUUAAGUUUAUUUUAAAGAAGUGGUAGUACUCAUAAUUUACGUAAAAGUAGCAAUGAAAGCAUGUAUAAAUACUCAAGCAGUACUUAAGGUACACGUUAAAUAACACUUCAUAAUAUAUUUCUAAAUUACAGAAAGUUAAAGCGCUUUUAAUGCAAAAUGUCUCAUUUCAUAAUUAUGUAUAUUAAAACAUUGUAUCAUGGUGAUUGAUACAUUUUAUGUAAGCAUAACUUUAAUGUUAUAGGGGAAAACGUGGAUCUUUACUGCUGGGUUGCUUAAUCUAAAAUACAUCAUAACAAUUAUAUUUUGUGUUAUGUGAGAGGAGUAAAGACAAUUUAGACGUAGACGAGCAGAAGUAUGAAGGAGGUUCAGUUAUUAAUACUCAUGUAAAGUACAAGUACUUCAAAAUUAUACUCAAGUACAGCCCUUUAAAUUAGCAACAGAUACUCUGGUAUCUUCUGUAUAUUUGUAGCAGGUUGUCAUUUUAAUGAGAGUGUGCAGGGAGUGUAAAGGUUUAUUUUAAAAUGGGAUGUUUCUUGUUGAGGAAAACUGAGAACACCUGAGACAGUUUGACAGAUGAGGAAAACAAGAUUACAGCAUCCUUAUGAUCCACAUAAGUUAUCCCUCUAUACAAACAGUGUUUCCAGCUGCUCCUAAACAUUAAUGUAGGAAUAGUCUUACAUCCAACAGCAUCACAGUAUUGCAUUCACUGUACUGACAAACGUUGGUAUCAGUGCUAAAAUGGAGUAAAUUAGCUGUCACAUUGAGAAAAUAAAUAAUAAAAACUUUUAAAGACACAA